UUAUACAAUUUUACCAUAUGUGUAUAAUUUCCUUCCCAGACACAUCAGACUUCAGAAACUGCGUGCAAUGAGUGUUGAGGAAGGUGCCUGUACACUGUGUUUUGAUGAGAGUGCCACUAUUGUCCUCCUCCCUUGUGCUCACAGGGGAUUCUGUCAGACUUGUGCUCUGCAACUAGAAAUUUGUCCAAUGUGUCGGAGACAUAUUGAGGAGAGACGAGAGGUAGAAGAUAAAGCAAACGCCAAGGAGGAUGUCACAUGACCCUACGGAAUUUACUGAUGGCAGUGAAUACAUGGCUGGCAGCGAUAUAGGUGUAUCAUGAAGAUUGUGUGGACACUAACUAUGACAAGUUACUUACACCAGUACAGUAUGGUCAAACACUUUCUAUCCCAUACACCAUUUUCCUUGACCAUGGACACUAGCAUGGUGGGGUGAAAUGUGAUAUUACAGUCGACCAGAGUUGAUUGUUACAUAGGUAUGAAUACAUCUGUCUGCUGGAGAUUAACUAAUUAAAGUUUUGCAUGUUAACGUGUAAAUUAUUUGCCUUUAUUGUAGGGUUUUGGGCCAUCUCUUGUCCUUCCUUCCUUCCUUCCUUAUAUAAAUACCUUCUAUAAAGUUCAUAAAUAUUGAAAGUGAUGUAAGUACUGUAGAUCUUCAGUUUAGGACUUACCUGACCUGUAGUCAGUACAAUGUGCUCUACUAUUUGUACAUCAACUUGUAAAUUAUUGAACUUCUUCAUUGCUUCUGGAAUAUCAAAUGUGACUUGUCAGCAAUUAUGGAAAUUCAGAAAUUAGUGUUUACAUUUGGUGUUUUGAGCUAAAUUGACUUUGGUAAUAAGUUAAGCGAUGGUUCAGAAGAUGGCAGUGGUGCAGUGUACAUUACCCUGGAGGAGUGUUCCAGCAUUGUUCACAGUGACAGUAUACACAACAGAGCAGUAGUGUCCACAGUGGAACAGUGUACACUACAGCAAUAGUGUCCACAGUGGAACAGUGUACACUACAGCAGUAGUGUUCACAGUGGAACAGUGUACACAACAGCAGUAGUGUUCACAGUGGAACAGUGUACACAACAGCAGUAGUGUUCACAGUGGAACAGUGUACACAACAGCAGUAGUGUUCACAGUGGAACAGUGUA